UGAUUUAUGUUUGCUUGCACUUUCACAUGAUAGUCGUGUGGGCUUGCUCCAUUCAUUUCAACAAUUUUUGAGACCUCCCAUGUUGCAGCUCGGUAUGGAGAAACAACAUUCCUUUACCAUAUUGUUGCAAAAUGGAACGCUGACCCAGAUACCCCUGAUAACGAUGGCAGAAGCCCUUUGCACUGGUAGUUGAUUUAUCUUUCCGUAGGGUUCCGCCAGUAUUUCAUUCUGAUGAUACUUUCAUUUUCUUUCUCCUAUGGUUUUCUGGAUGUGCAAAUAUUUAUCUUUUGCUACUAUUAAAAAAGCCUUUCAAACAUUUUCAAUGUAUAAGACUUGCAGAAGCACAUAAUUUUCGGUUGUUUACCGAUGGGAGCAUGAGAAUUUUCCGUCAGGUUAACAUAUUGAAAGUUUAAAAGAAAUUUGAAUUAUAUUCAUCUGAGCGUCAAAGGAGAUAUUCCACACUUGGCGACCAUAACAACCAUAGGAACAUCUAUAUCAUAAAUUUAUGCCUGUAAAGUCUUCAACAUCUCCUUUUUAUAUUCUAAGCUUCCUGUAAAAGGAAAAGAAAUUACCUCAUCAUGGUUAAGAAGUAUCCUUAUGUUCAAGGCAAUGCUAGAAGGUUGUUUGACAGACGUUGUGAUGGAAAUAGCCCGCUUGGUAGACUAUCAAAAUUAGGACUUGCACCUGCAUUGUGGUGUGUAAUUAUUUCACUGCUUGUUACCUACGUACAUUCUGUGCUCACAGUUGACGGCUGGGUUUGGACUUCUUGCUUGGUUUGGGGUUUUAUUGGCAACUGUUGGACUCGCUAUGUUUUAUAGGUGCAGUAGGCAAACAGUCUGUUAUUAUGUUCGGAGAGGCAAAUGAUGUUAUUGGCUACAUGAAGGAGAAUGAUCGUAAGCCUAGUGAUGUAACAUACAAGACGGUCGAAAGCUAGCUCUACAGGUACAGGGGAAAGUUGAUCUGCAGCAGUGAUAUAGGUACUAUUUUCAAUUCCUUGUUUGCAUGUUUUAUAUGUCUUUGUAGUUUGUUCACCAGCUUUUUCUAACACAACGUUAGAUAUAUAUUUGAAACUGAUGCCUUAUAUUGUGGCUUUGACGUUGUAAUAAAAGAACGAGACAAUAAAGAGUAGAUUGGAGAGCAAAU